GGAGGGUUGUCCGAGCGGCUGAAGGAGCUGGUCUCGAAAACCAGUGUACCUCCGGGUACCUAGGGUUCAAAUCCCUAACCCUCCGCCA
rnacentral:tRNA from 1 species